UACGUAGGGGGCAAGCGUUGUCCGGAAUCAUUGGGCGUAAAGCGCGUGUAGGCGGCCCGGUAAGUCCGCUGUGAAAGUCCAGGGCUCAACCCUGGGAUGCCGGUGGAUACUGUCGGGCUCGAGUCCGGAAGAGGCGAGUGGAAUUCCCGGUGUAGCGGUGAAAUGCGCAGAUAUCGGGAAGAACACCCGUGGCGAAGGCGGCUCUCUGGGACGGUACUGACGCUGAGACGCGAAAGCGUGGGGAGCGAACAGG
rnacentral:rRNA from 1 species